GAGAUCACCAUGGUGACUUGUAAGCAACUCACUAUAUUUUAGUACCGAACUAUUUGAAUUUAUAAUUCAGUAUCGGAAGGUUUCUGGAUGCAGUCAAGUACUUGUCAAGUCAGUGCGUGAGUCAAAAUAAGAUUGAUCUCUCCGAAUUAAUAGGAGUUAAUGUAUCAAUGUAUUUUAAUUUAGCAAAAUUUAGAUCCAAAUAAUCCAUAUGAUGGAUUUGAAAGAUUAAAAUAUAAUGUGGAUGACUUG
rnacentral:lncRNA from 1 species